rnacentral:rRNA from 1 species
GACAGCAGCCGCCGGGUAAUACGGAGGGGGCUAGCGUUGUUCGGAAUUACUGGGCGUAAAGCGCACGUAGGCGGCUUGGUAAGUUAGAGGUGAAAGCCUGGAGCUCAACUCCAGAAUUGCCUUUAAGACUGCCGAGCUAGCAGGUGAGAGAGGUAAGUGGAAUUCCGAGUGUAGAGGUGAAAUUCGUAGAUAUUCGGAAGAACACCAGUGGCAAAGGCGGCUUACUGGCUCAUACUGGACGCUGAGGUGCGAGAGCGUGGGGAGCAAACAGGAUUAGAGACCCAGUAGUCCCUGUCUCUUAUACAC